ACAGCAGUAGCCGCGGUAAUACGUAGGUGGCAAGCGUUGUCCGGAAUUAUUGGGCGUAAAGCGCGCGCAGGCGGCCUAUCCAGUCUGUCUUAAAAGUUCGGGGCUCAACCCCGUGAUGGGAUGGAAACUAGUAGGCUAGAGUAUCGGAGAGGAAAGCGGAAUUCCUAGUGUAGCGGUGAAAUGCGUAGAUAUUAGGAAGAACACCAGUGGCGAAGGCGGCUUUCUGGACGAAAACUGACGCUGAGGCGCGAAAGCCAGGGGAGCGAACGGGACUAGAUACCCCCGUAGUCCCUGUCUCUUAUACA
rnacentral:rRNA from 1 species